rnacentral:rRNA from 1 species
CAGGGGAUCUUGCGCAAUGGGCGAAAGCCUGACGCAGCGACACCGCGUGGGGGAAGAAGGCCUUAGGGUUGUAAACCCCUUUUCUGGGGGAAGAGAAAGGACGGUACCUCAGGAAUAAGCCUCGGCUAACUACGUGCCAGCAGCCGCGGUAAUACGUAGGAGGCGAGCGUUGUCCGGAUUUACUGGGCGUAAAGGGCGCGUAGGCGGCACGACAUGUCCUGUGUGAAAUCUCCCGGCUCAACUGGGAGCGGUCAUGGGAAACGGUCGAGCUUGACAGCAGCAGAGGGGGGUGGAACUCCUGGAGAAGUGGUGGAAUGCGUAGAUACCAGGAAGAACACCAGUGGCGAAGGCGACCCCCUGGGCUGACCGUGACGCUGAGGCGCGAAAGCGUGGGUAGCAAACCGG